GACGAACGCUGGCGGCGUGCCUAAUACAUGCAAGUCGAACGAGUGGCGAACGGGUGAGUAAUACGUGAGUAACCUGCCCUCUUUUUGGGAUAAGCCUUGGAAACGGGGUCUAAUACCGGAUAAAGGGGGAUGGGCUCGCGGCCUAUCAGCUUGUUGGGGGGGUGAUGGCCUACCAAGGCGGUGACGGGUAGCCGGCCUGAGAGGGUGACCGGCCACAUUGGGACUGAGAUCCGGCCCAGACUCCUACGGGAGGCAGCAGUGGGGGAUAUUGCACAAUGGGCGAAAGCCUGAUCCAGUCAUACCGCGUGGGUGAAGAAGGCCUUCGGGUUGUAAAGCCCUUUUGUUGGGAAAACGGUACCCAAAGAAUAAGCACCGGCUAACUUCGUGCCAGCAGCCGCGGUAAUAC
rnacentral:rRNA from 1 species